rnacentral:rRNA from 1 species
AACGAACGCUGGCGGCAGGCUUAACACAUGCAAGUCGAACGCCCCGCAAGGGGAGUGGCAGACGGGUGAGUAACGCGUGGGAACAUACCCUUAUCUUCGGAACAACUCCGGGAAACUGGAGCUAAUACCGAAUGUGCCCUUAGGGGGAAAGAUUUAUCGGAUAAGGAUUGGCCCGCGUUGGAUUAGCUAGUUGGUGGGGUAAAGGCCUACCAAGGCGACGAUCCAUAGCUGAUCUGAGAGGAUGAUCAGCCACAUUGGGACUGAGACACGGCCCAAACUCCUACGGGAGGCAGCAGUGGGGAAUAUUGGACAAUGGGCGCAAGCCUGAUCCCGCCAUGCCGCGUGAGUGAUGAAGGCCUUAGGGUUGUAAAGCUCUUUCACCGGAGAAGAUAAUGACGGUAUCCGGAGAAGAAGCCCCGGCUAACUUCGUGCCAGCAGCCGCGGUAAUAC